rnacentral:rRNA from 1 species
UACGGAGGGUGCAAGCGUUAUCCGGAUUCACUGGGUUUAAAGGGUGCGUAGGCGGGUAGGUAAGUCAGUGGUGAAAUCUUCGAGCUUAACUCGGAAACUGCCUUUGAUACUAUCUAUCUUGAAUAUUGUGGAGGUAAGCGGAAUAUGUCAUGUAGCGGUGAAAUGCUUAGAUAUGACAUAGAACACCGAUUGCGAAGGCAGCUCACAAAACUGUAACUGACGCUGAGGCACGAAAGCGUGGGUAUCAAACAGG